GAUGAACGCUGGCGGCGUGCCUAAUACAUGCAAGUCGAGCGAACGGACGAGAAGCUUGCUUCUCUGAUGUUAGCGGCGGACGGGUGAGUAACACGUGGAUAACCUACCUAUAAGACUGGGAUAACUUCGGGAAACCGGAGCUAAUACCGGAUGAUAUUUUGAACCGCAUGGUUCAAAAGUGAAAGACGGUCUUGCUGUCACUUAUAGAUGGAUCCGCGCUGCAUUAGCUAGUUGGUAAGGUAACGGCGUACCAAGGCAACGAUGCAUAGCCGACCUGAGAGGGUGAUCGGCCACACUGGAACUGAGACACGGUCCAGACUCCUACGGGAGGCAGCAGUAGGGAAUCUUCCGCAGUGGGCGAAAGCCUGACGGAGCAACGCCGCGUGAGUGAUGAAGGUCUUCGGAUCGUAAAACUCUGUUAUUAGGGAAGAACAUAUGUGUAAGUAACUGUGCACAUCUUGACGGUACCUAAUCAGAAAGCCACGGCUAACUACGU
rnacentral:rRNA from 1 species